rnacentral:tRNA from 1 species
GGGCCAUUAGCUCAGUUGGUAGAGCAGGACACUCUUAAUGUCAAGGUCGUAGGUUCAAGUCCUACAUGGCCCA